CGUAGGUGGCGAGCGUUGUCCGGAUUUAUUGGGCGUAAAGCGCGCGCAGGCGGUUCGCUCCGUCCGGUGUGAAAUCUCCCGGCUCACCUGGGAGGGGGCGCUGGAGACUGGCGAACUGGAGGCAGGGAGAGGUCGGUGGAAUUCCCGGUGUAGUGGUGAAAUGCGUAGAGAUCGGGAGGAACACCAGUGGCGAAAGCGGCCGACUGGACCUGUCCUGACGCUGAGGCGCGAAAGCGUGGGGAGCGAACCGGAUUAGAUACCCGGGUAGUCCACGCCGUAAACGAUGGUCACUAGGUGUGGGGGGUAUCGACCCCCUCCGCGCCGUCGCUAACGCAUUAAGUGACCCGCCUGGGGAGUACGGCCGCAAGGCUA
rnacentral:rRNA from 1 species